UACGUAGGGUGCAAGCGUUGUCCGGAAUUAUUGGGCGUAAAGAGCUCGUAGGCGGUUUGUCGCGUCUGCUGUGAAAAUCCAAGGCUCAACCUUGGACCUGCAGUGGGUACGGGCAGACUAGAGUGCGGUAGGGGAGAUGGGAAUUCCUGGUGUAGCGGUGGAAUGCGCAGAUAUCAGGAGGAACACCAAUGGCGAAGGCACGAUCUCUGGGCCGUAACUGACGCUGAGGAGCGAAAGCGUGGGGAGCGAACAGG
rnacentral:rRNA from 1 species